rnacentral:rRNA from 1 species
AUUGAACGCUGGCGGCAGGCCUAACACAUGCAAGUCGAGCGGAUGAAGGGAGCUUGCUCCUGGAUUCAGCGGCGGACGGGUGAGUAAUGCCUAGGAAUCUGCCUGGUAGUGGGGGAUAACGUCCGGAAACGGGCGCUAAUACCGCAUACGUCCUGAGGGAGAAAGUGGGGGAGCUUCGGACCUCACGCUAUCAGAUGAGCCUAGGUCGGAUUAGCUAGUUGGUGGGGUAAAGGCCUACCAAGGCGACGAUCCGUAACUGGUCUGAGAGGAUGAGCAGUCACACUGGAACUGAGACACGGUCCAGACUCCUAAGGGAGGCAGCAGUGGGGAAUAUUGGACAAUGGGCGAAAGCCUGAUCCAGCCAUGCCGCGUGUGUGAAGAAGGUCUUCGGAUUGUAAAGCACUUUAAGUUGGGAGGAAGGGCAGUAAGUUAAUACCUUGCUGUUUUGACGUUACCAACAGAAUAAGCACCGGCUAACUUCGUG